AGCUCCAGUAGCGUAUAUUAAAGUUGUUGCAGUUAAAAAGCUCGUAGUUGGAUUUCUGGCCUGAUAUGCCUGGCCCGCUGCGAUUACGUAUGUGAGUGCCGGUGCGUAUCUGCCAUCCUUCUAGAAAACGUUUCUACUCUUUACUGAGCCGGACUCGCGAUCUAGAUCUUUUACUUUGAAAAAAUUAGAGUGUUCAAAGCAGGCUCGCGCUGUGAAUACAUUAGCAUGGAAUAAUAAUUUAGGACUUUGUUCCUAUUUUGUUGGUUUCUAGGAAUAAAGUAAUGAUUGAUAGGGAUAGUUGGGGGUGCUAGUAUUCAGCGGCCAGAGGUGAAAUUCUCGGAUUCGCUGAAGACUAACUUAUGCGAAAGCAUUCACCAAGGAUGUCUUCU
rnacentral:rRNA from 1 species